rfam:Zootermopsis nevadensis contig2466, whole genome shotgun sequence.
GCCACGGUGGUCUAGCGGUUAGAACGCUGGCCUUGUAAUCCUGGGGUCUCGGGUUUGAUUCCCGGCGGUGCCC